GCCCUCGUCGUUCAAUGGAUAGGACGUAUCCUUGCGGAGGAUAUGAUGCGGGUUCGAUUCCUGCCGAGGGCA
rnacentral:tRNA from 1 species